rnacentral:rRNA from 1 species
AAUAGAUACCCGGGUAGUCCACGCCGUAAACGGUGGGCACUAGAUGUGGGGCUCUUUCCAUGAGUUCCGCGUCGCAGCUAACGCAUUAAGUGCCCCGCCUGGGGAGUACGGCCGCAAGGCUAAAACUCAAAGGAAUUGACGGGGGCCCGCACAAGCGGCGGAGCAUGCGGAUUAAUUCGAUGCAACGCGAAGAACCUUACCAAGGCUUGACAUAUGCGGUCUAUCCCUAGAGAUAGGGAGUGCUUCGGCGCCGUAUACAGGUGGUGCAUGGUUGUCGUCAGCUCGUGUCGUGAGAUGUUGGGUUAAGUCCCGCAACGAGCGCAACCCUCGUUCUAUGUUGCCAGCACGUAAUGGUGGGGACUCAUAGGAGACUGCCGGGGUCAACUCGGAGGAAGGUGGGGAUGACGUCAAAUCAUCAUGCCCCUUAUGUCUUGGGCUUCACGCAUGCUACAAUGGCCGGUACAAAGGGCUGCAAUACCGCAAGGUGGAGCGAAUCCCAAAAAGCCGGUCUCAGUUCGGAUUG